rnacentral:rRNA from 1 species
CCUACGGGUGGCUGCAGUGGGGAAUAUUGGACAAUGGGGGGAACCCUGAUCCAGCCAUGCCGCGUGUGUGAAGAAGGCCCUCGGGUUGUAAAGCACUUUCAAUGAGGAAGAACGCCUGGUGGUUAAUACCCAUCAGGAAAGACAUCACUCACAGAAGAAGCACCGGCUAACUCCGUGCCAGCAGCCGCGGUAAUACGGAGGGUGCGAGCGUUAAUCGGAAUUACUGGGCGUAAAGCGCGCGUAGGUGGCUUGAUAAGCCGGUUGUGAAAGCCCCGGGCUCAACCUGGGAACGGCAUCCGGAACUGUCAAGCUAGAGUGCAGGAGAGGAAGGUAGAAUUCCCGGUGUAGCGGUGAAAUGCGUAGAGAUCGGGAGGAAUACCAGUGGCGAAGGCGGCCUUCUGGACUGACACUGACACUGAGGUGCGAAAGCGUGGGUAGCAAACAGGAUUAGAUACCCCUGUAGUC